UACUUCUCAAACUGAUAUAAAUGUUGCAGUCCAUGAAAACCCUUCCAGAAAUGACCCAGGCAGCCAAGUAACACGGGGAUCAAUCUACCUGGAGCUCUGGAAACAAUAAGCUGGAAAGAGACAAAGCUGCUGUUCCAAAACUCAUUCCACUGGUGUCUACUCACUACAGGUGAAUUGCCUAUUUCAGGAAUCCUCCAAAAAUGUUAUGUAACAGCCACAUCCUUACAUCAGACCUCUAACCUUUCAUUCAUGAUCAAACUGGCCCAACUGAAAACCAUAAAAAAAAAAGAAAAUAAAACCUCCAACCCUUUCAAGCACCAAA